UUACCGAUCCACAAUGGUCGGAAAAAGAUAAAGUUCGGCCAAAACUCUUUUUAUGUGUUUAAUCGAAGUUAUAGGUUGCCUAGAUAUGUUAUAUAGUAUUUUUAGUGUUUAAAAAGGGGUAUUUAAAAAUUACGUAAUUUAAAUAAUUUCAAAAACGGUGAAAAUCAGUAAACCCCAUAUUUUUUGCGUUUUUUGUUAGAAAAUCAAUUCGAAUUUAAAUAAAUGAUCAUUUUUCGAUCAAAUCCAAUCAAGUUUGUUCAAAACGUGUGAAAAAUGUGGAAAGAUAAAUUUUAUAUCAGUAAAAAAUGGAAAAAUAACGUAAAAUAUAUGAAAAAACAUGUCUUUUUAAAA